GCCCCUUGCGUGGGGCGGGGCGUGGCAGCGCGGAAAGGGGACCGGGCUGGGGCCGGUGACGGCGGGGGCGCGGUUCCACCAGGGCGCGAGGCUCCACGAGGGCACGAGGCUCCUUGGAGCCUUGGGUCUUGCCUCGCCGUGAGAAGGCGGCUGGCCGACCUUUGUUCUUUCGAGACAAAGCCCUGAACUUGGGUCCUCGCGCUGCGCAGGUUUCUGGCCUUGGUUGGAAAAUAGCUAUGAAUGAAUAGCUAUGAAUAAUAAAAUGCUGCAGUUUCACAAAGGAAACUGGAAGGACUACUUUAGCAAAAUAAGGAAAUAAAAGAAGAACAUGGAAGAUGUGGAAAAGAAGAUACAACAAGAAAAGUAGCAAGAAAAAUCCUAAGGUGGCACAAGGGGAUAUCCCAGAACUUCAAGGAAACAACAGUACCGGAAAUGAGGAGGAAGAAAGAGGGCUCCAGAGGCAG